UACGUAGGGGGCAAGCGUUGUGCGGAUUUAUUGGGCGUAAAGGGCGCGUAGGCGGUGCGGUAAGUCACCUGUGAAAUCUCCUGGCUCAACUGGGAGCUUGCAGGCGAAACUGCCGUGCUGGAGUGUGGGAGAGGUGCGUGGAAUUCCUGGUGUAGCGGUGAAAUGCGUAGAGAUCCGGAGGAACACCAAAGGCGAAGGCAGUGUCCUGGGGAGUACCUGACGCUCAGGUGCGAAAGCCAGGGGAGCGAACGGG
rnacentral:rRNA from 1 species